rnacentral:misc_RNA from 1 species
CACCGCCGAUCAAGAAUAAACAGAAACAACUCAACAUCACUAGCCAACUGCUCUGAUUAAAGCUAGGUCACCAACUAGGUGGGAAGAUUGUUGUCAUCCAUAAUAAAGCUUAGAGCGAGCUAGAGGAAAUUUCAUGAAAAGGCCAUCCAACCUCACCCAAUGGCAAUAGAACCUCAAAGCCUCAAAACUAGAACCAUUUACUGGGGGAAGGUGAUGAAGGCAGAGUCGCCAUCCAGCAGCGGAAGUGGCAUUGUAACUUCGGAGGUGCCGAACAUCUCGACCUCUUAAUGAAACCUUUCCCAUUGAGCCAAACUCAGCUAUAGAUCCAGAGCAUCAAAGCGAUCUAGAUAAAACCCGUAUGUAAGUCAACAAAAACAUCCCUCUCCAUAGAUCUACAGGACCUAUACACAACAAGAGCAACACAAAAGUAUUUACAUAAAUUCAAAGUUGAGAAGGAUAAGCCCAUUAUCGAGGCCAGAAAGAAGCUCUCCCAGCUAGAAAGGGCAAGGGAAGACCACUAUACAAAUAGCUGCAAAGGAUGAAGCCUUGGAAGCAGAUGAA